CUUUGAGAAGGAGGGAGAGGAGGGGUGUCUGUGGACUGUGGUGUUGAUGUAAACUUGGUAAGUCUUUUGUUCCCAACUACAGCCAUAGUGAUUGUGACAGAGGAUGCUCCAGAUUGCAACAGUCACCGUCUCGAUUAAUCCUAGGCCUGGCUACCCGCCAGACAUGUAAAAAAAACAACUGUCACACCUGACCAUCGUUCUAAUUUCAGGUAUAAAACAGAAGGCUUCCUAACGUGACCGACGGGGUCGAACGAACAAGCGAGCAAAACUAUUACUUCCUGUUAGUCUGCAUGCGUACGUCUCCUAAUGUGCAUACAUGCAAACUCUUUUUUUUAAACACCUCUCCAUAUAUUAAUUAAUUAAAAUGUCAUCACAAUCGUUCAUAACAGCAGACGCCAUGCAGGGCGCUACUGAAUUGGCCCUUCUAUUUAUUUUUGACAGCUUGAAGUUCCCCAGAAGCCUGAUGAUGCCAAACUCUUUCUAAUCCCAAGAUCAGCAGCAAGGCACAGCUCCUUCUCCCCUAGUAUAUAAAUAUAGAUUAAUUUUGCUUGAUUGAAUACAUAGCCUUCAAUUUGAUUCUUUCUCUAUUCUGAAUUUUUGAUUCGUAUACAAAUUUCAUUUUGCUUGAUUCUUGCAUUUCUCUUUUUUUUCUUCCUAUUAUGGAUUUUUGGUUGCUAAAUCUAAAUCAGAAUUUAAUUUUGCUUAAAUAUGUACCAUUGCAUUUCAACCCUCUUUCGGGACGAUUAAACAAAAAUUGCUUCCAUUUUGCCCCCCUUCAUCUAUUUCCGUACCCGUCGGUUUGUUAGGGUUGCCGACAUGGACAGUGCAGAGAGGUCUUUGGGUUAUCCAGGUGGGCAUGGGGUUAGGCAUCCACGAGGAUUUCCACGUGGACGUGAACAUGGACAGGCAUGCCGUCCAUCGUUAGUUGAUUCCGCUCCUCAAUCAAACUUAGAUGUGACCAGUUGCCACCAAGAACCGUCGCAGGCACGUUGUGUUCCAUCAAAUAUGUUUUCUUCCGUACGAUAUGUCUUGACAUUCAUUUCAUAAUCUGUUUCUUCGCACGAUGAAACAACAUCCUCCAGAGAGGAAUAUCUACCAGACCAACAUGGAAAUGAAGAAUCGUCCACAUCGAUGUCACACACACACAUAAUCUGAUAUUGCCCUUAACCGUAAGAUUUUGCCUUAAUUAAUCCAUGUUGAUGCCUCUGAGUUUAGGAAUCAUUUAUGUUUACAAAAACCACUCUCUUUCUGCCUCAUCAUUCAGGAACCCUUGACUCUUGGAGCUCCCCGUGUUCUUGCAUACAUUGUGGUACUCUUUUGUUUUUAUUAAAACAUUGUGGUACUCUCUUUUUUAGGUGAUGGUACUCUCUUUUGGUUUUUUUGGGUAGUCCGAUAAAAAAGCACAGUUUGUGGGAUACAUCUCGAAUCAUGGGAAUGGCCUAGCGACACAUGGCGUCCCGGCCCUAAAGAAUGAGCAAGUUUCGCUAGAGUAUAUGCCUCAACAUUCAAGUCACAACUCUCAUAAGUAAAACUACACAUAAAAUGAGAAGCUCUAAGCCGAAUCUCCUUGAUCACACUUCCAUAGAUUCCUCGGUUACCUGUAUUUAUAUCAUUCACCACCUGCUUGGAGAUAGAUGCUAUUACCAUUCACGGAAUGUUCAAGUCUGUCGCCAGAGAAAAAGCUUCCCUGCAAGCGAUCGCCUCAGUGCCGAACUCCCGAGGAAGGUUCCUUGGUCAUCCUGGCACACGGCUGCCGCAGCACCUCCUCUCGCCGAUCGCAGCAACCCUGCAUCAACAUGUAUUUUGGCCAUACCGGCUGGAGGUGCCUUCUGGCGUAUAUUUCUUCUCCUCCGUGGUACUCUCUUUUGUUUUUUUUAGCAUCUGGUAUACUCUCUUUUGGUGGUAUGAAGAGUUUUAAUAUUUUUUUUGAGGGGUUAGAGUUUUGAUCAGGUGGGCCCAACAUGACACAGCCCGGGGCCCAGGGCCCAGUUAAAACACGACUCAGCACCUGAGCAGGUGCGUAAACCGCCCCCUCUCCCCCUCCUCUUGGGUUCUCCAUCCUCUCCUCCGCGACCUCUGUUUCCAUGGCCGCCAAGAGGAAGCUCGGCAGGUCGCCACCGGCGGCGGCGGCGAAUGCGAAUGCGUAGGCCAAGGAAGACGAUGAGGAGGGGCACCUCUCCUCGCGCUCCUUCGCCGACCUCGGCCUCCGCCCCACCCUCUGCGCCCGCUUCCAAGGUCCCUCCUCCCCCCUCUCUGAUUCCCCGUGACUCUGUGGCCCUAGUGAUUUGGCUGCCCCCUCAGGUUCGGGGAACUAGGAGCUCACGCCCUAAUGUCGUCCACAUCUUUUUUGGGAAAAAUCUAUGAUUUUUGAAUUUCCAAUCUGAAUGAUCAAAAUGAUAUGGAGACAUGUGCACAACGUCACCCACCUAGUUGUGAUAUGGAGAGAGUAAUAAUACUCCUUCCAUUCCUGUAUAAGACCACUACAUUUUUUUAUGUCUAGUUUUGACCAUUAAUUUUAUUAACCAAAUGUGAGUUAUAUGCCACGAAAAGUAUGCCACUGGAUGCACAUUUCGAAUAACUUUUCGAUGAUAUAUUUUUUAAUGAAAUAUAAACCAUAUUUUGUUGACCAGAAUUACAAGUCAAAGUUUGACACCAAAAACGAAGUGACCUUGUAUACAAAAAUGGAGGGAGUAUGUGAACAUUAGUGAUUUGGCUGUCCCCUCGAGGAACUAGGAGCUCACCUCAUUAAUGUCGUCCACAUCUUUUUCUGAGAAGAAUUUAUGCAUAUGAUUUUCAAAUUUCCAAUCUGAAUGAUCACGAUGGUGUUUGUAGUUUAAGGAGUACUGGAAGUCUGAUAGAAGACGUGUCCAGAACGUCACCCACCUACUGUAGUUGUGAUAUGCAGAGAGUAAUAAUAAGUCAACAUUAGUGCAUUCAAAAAGCCCAAUUGCCGUCUUCAGAUCGGAAAUGGCAAUCUGUGAUUUACCAUAUCACCAGUUUUGAGAGAUAUUCAGUGCAAUGAUCUGCAGUACUUUACAGCAAAACAGUGUCUAGGUAUGGUAUUUCCACUAAUCUCAUGUCUUGAAGGCCCAAUACAGUUUAUUCGUCAGAAAUAAAAAAGAACGAUAGAAACAAAGUAUUUCUGUCGCCGUUUUGUUCAUUAUACAAAACAAUGACCAAGUACACAUAGUUAAUAUCUGUUUGGAAGAACACCAGAUUCACUCUAAAAACUGUUUGAAUUUUACUUAUCAUCAUAUGUUUCGUUAGGUUCCCACUUGGAUAUCGCAUAAAUUACUCUCCCUUUCCAUCCUUGCAGUAGCCAACCGCGAUCUUCAACAACAAAGAAUUCCUCAUGAUAAAGUGAGUUCUUCAUUUGUACUAUUUUCUUUAAGAUGGCUGGAUCAAUUGGAGCUGCUGGAACCCAGCCUUGAGGAACCUUGCUUGCCACUGCCUGUAGCUUUCUGGCCUCUCAGUCCUUUCUGCAUCCUCACAUGCUAUGCUGUUAAGUGCGUCCCGCCCAAAUAGGACCCUCUCAAUUGUCUUUCUUGCUUCAUUAUCCCGUGGAACAUUUGCAUCAAGCAUGUCAAACAUUGAAGAGUAAUGGAGCAUAACCUCUUUGAAUCGUUGUAUGAAGAAGGGAGAACUGUGUAACCCAUUGACGGUACCAGAAAUAAAAACCUUCGGGUUCAUCCUCCUCAUAGUUUUCAGCACCUCAUCCCUUGCGCUAUUUACGGCAUCGGUUUCAUGACCGAGAUUCUUCAUCCGGAACAUGCAGUUGAUUAUGAGAAAUUCAUCCUCAUCAAUGUUAAGAUCCUCAAUUUCAAUGGUAUCCCAUCUUGAAGCGGCAAUGCCCUGAUACUGAAAAGGUACCUUGAACAUGUUUGCAUAGUCAACCAACCGCUUACCUGUCUCUUCGAUCAUUUCGCAGGGGCGCAAACUUUGCUGGGGAGUGUCUAUACCUGUGAUCCGAAGCUUAGGAGCUCCCUCUCCUUGCUGUGCAAACCUCUGAAUCAUUGAUGGCCACUGAAAGCCGAAGCCUAUGCCGAAAUCGAUGAUGUGCACCCUUGGUUGCCUUUGUGAGACAUAAAAAAUAGUUUGGUUGGCAAAGUAGUAUGAUGCCCUUUUGAAAGGGCAAGCUGCAAGAAAAAGACUGCAAACAUCUAACCAAUCUGCGGUACUUGUUCGCCUUUCCACGAGGUUCCGGUAAACCUGACUCCCGAUCCCAUUCAAGCGUGCCUCAAGGCCAUCUGCCAAGUAAAAUGCCAGUCUCUGAGUACAAUCACCAUCUGCUGAAGAGUGUUGUCUUAUCUUCAAUAGCAGUUCACUGGCCAACAGGUAGCAGUUUUCUGCCACAGCUUGUGCGCAAUGGAUGAGGAGAGUCCUGAGAUCAACCAACUCUUUCCUCGGCUGCUUCCUACUUUUGCUCCGGCCGUUUAGCGAGUUCUUGUUUCCUUCCCCCGCCAUCCUUCCUUGAAGUUUUGUUAUUUGGUCAGAGGGACCAUAGCACAGCAGAACUCGGUCGAAAUUUUCAUUUCGAAUUAUUGCACAAGUGGUGAUAGCAUGAUGUUUAUUGCUCCUUCCUAAGAUAUCCCAGUUCCUUUGGUCUGACACCUCAAAGAUUGUGUUUUCGCUGGUCCUCUCUCCUAGUUUUGCCUUUGUAGUCAGUUGGGAAAUAUGAAGUAUGUCGUUCUUUAAAUAUAUCACCAGCUUAUCAAUAAUUGGAGCCAACAUUAUUUUCUUCUCGACACCUCUCUGACAAUGCAAGGCUGGGAAUUCAGAUCCGGAAGUCCAUCCAACACUUUUGAACGGACGAUUUGGUAGAGAAAGACUCCUAUUGCAGAUAUAUGGACUCAACGGGCUUGUUAAGGGUUGUAACACGAUGUAACUGGAAUAGUCAUUACUGAAGCUAGUGCUCCGGAGCCUCUUGUAACGGCUGGUCCCACUCUUAUCAGAGGUUUCUGGUUUGUUAUUGCUAUGCAAUGGGUGCCAGUUAGUAGUCGACGCGGAUACCUCCCCAAGAAUGUCACGGAAUGGCUUCUCAGCAGCCUGGAGAGCAGCCUCCCCUUGGCAUAUGUCAACCCUCUCAUCGACGUCUUCCAUCAACAUCUGGCUUAUGUAGUGAAGGGCAUCAUUUGAUCUGAUCCAGCGGUGCUCAGGGCUACCCCCUGCAGCAAUCUGAAAUUGGUUUUGUCCAAGGCUGCUGUUGACACUUGCUUGGUUGGCUGGGGAGAGAACUGUGGAGUGUGGACCACUCAGUUCGUGGUUGUACACGGUAAGUUGCUGCUGGGAAGAGGAAUCACCCUCGUAUGGUUGGUCGGUUGCUACGACAGUCUCCAGAUUGUCACAGAGAGGUUCAGUUGCCAUUGUGGAAAGUCUGAUUUCCACCUCAAUAUGAGAUAUAUAUGACGCUUCUUUCUCCCACUGCUAAUGAAUCAGCCUGUUUACUGGACGAAGAAAAAAUGGGAAUGGAAACUAAAUUAUGUGAGACGAAUUUCCAUUGAUCACCUUGCGUGCUACAAUCUAGAAUGCGAACGUAGUUCUGCUUCUUUUUUAUCAGAAAUUCAGCUUAUGAUUGUUUUGGCAUGCAGACAUGAGAACGGCUAUUUUAGCCGGUUAAACAUACAUUAAGCAUCCAUAACAGAAACAGCAUGACUAAAGCGAUUUUGAGUAUACACGCGCCUAAUAUCACUGUUCAUAUUAUUUAUUUGCAGGAGGCUCAUCAUCUGAUCUAAGCAAGUAGCAAAAUAGUAGGGAAGCACACACCUUGGAUAUUAAGCAGCAGCAGCAGCAGCAUCAGAUCCAAUGCUUUGAGAGAGGAGUAGCGAGGAUGUGGACUAUGAAAGAAGAGUAGUGAGGUUGUGGUGUUGAUGUGAGCUAAAUUUGUCGUUCCUCUACCUUAUGGCUUAGUUCCCAAUGUCAUGAGAUUGUGACGUUGAAUGGUUCAGAUUACAAGAAAUUAUUCGGUCGAUUAGUUCUAGGCCCGGCCGCGCACCAGACCUAUAAAAAAGGGUUUAUUAGGAGCGCUGGCCUGGGCUUCAGUCAUUAUUAAGGUCCCUACUUGAACUGUUAAAAAAAGCAGAUGCACUGUUCAAAGAAAUUUGUCCUUCUUUUCUACUUGAUGUAUAUCAUGAAUAGCAUUUAGCUGGUAUUCAAAGAAAAAAGAGGGCACUAUUAAAGAAACUUGUAUUGUUUUUCAUAUGAUAGUUGAUGUAUGUGAUGGCUGAGUUUUUGGAGGGUAGUUUGUUGUACUUUAUCUCAUUAUACCAUCAGACUUUUUUCGUAACUAUUUUCUCUGCAUUUUGAGAUUGGUAUAGUGGUAUAAAGCUUUGAGAUUAGUUUGUACUAUGUGAUAAAUUAGAUGAGUUACCACCAUCUUCACUAACUACCUAGUUUGUAUUUGGUUUUCGCCUAGGCCGUGCCAAUGCGACUCGUCAAGAGGGGUGGGAGCUCGGAGGUCGGCAUCACCUAGGGAGACUACUCGACGGCGCACUAUGUUUCGCCCUAGGCCAAGAUCGGGAGGGGAGGGGAGGGGCAGGCCGGAUGAUGGAUUGAGGAGCGAGGUGCGGGAAGGGUAGCAUCGCCCAGACCCCAGAGUCGUCGCAUAUUUUUAUGAUGGACACGUGGACUGUCCGUCAAGGAAUGAACAAGACGCCUCCAAUUUUGCUCCUAGAGUAACGGGAACGGAACCGGCUUCUCUACCGUGCCGCUGGGCACGGGAGUGCCGUGCCUUCUUACGCCCAAUGUGUGCAUUGAUAUGAGCCAGAAGGGCCUUGAACAUCCAGCCUGGCGCAUCCGACUCCGACGAACAAGAAUAACGGGGACAAUUGAUUUGACAACCAAAAUCAGUGAUGUCGUGAGAGAGCUCCAAUGGUGCACGGUUAUAAUGUUUCUAAAUGUCACCAACUAUUGUAACUUGUUCAACCAACAUAUAGAACUUACACCUUGUUCAUCUAAUUCCAUUUAGGGGGCAUUCAGACACACACAAAAGAUGUCAUUUUGUUAGAAAAUUAUGUAGUUUUUGGUUAAGCUUAAUCUAAAUUAGCACCAUUAAAAGAUUCUUGGCAUGCCAAAUAACAUACUAGGAACAUUUAACAUAUAUGCAUACGAGCCAGAGGCACAUGUCAACAGAGAGAGAUUCAGAAGAGACAAGUUAACCGGAAACUCCAUUACAACAGAUGUAGUUUCGAAGGCCUGUUCUCCCAGGCGACUGUGAGCAUAGUGCCAGAAAGGGGUCGCUGGAGAAGCAACUCAACACAAGUGUGUGUCCUAUUCUGUGUAGCCUAUCGCCUUUGUAUUUCCUCUACCUAGAGAGGAUGCGAGGAGAGUGCAUAGAUGCAACUAUAGGGUCUAACACAUUUUUUUAGGUUGCCUUUGACCACUAGCUAUAGCAAUAAUAUAUGAUGUGCAUGUCACAAAAAAAAUUAGCGUUAAAUUCGUAUAUGAAAAUAUUUUCUAAUGAUUAUAAACUCUAUUUAAGACCCUGGGUGAAGAAUAAAUAAAUCCUCACCCCGGUCGAACGACCCACCCAGCCGGCAGGCGACUCGGCUCUGUCGCACCCGCUCGCAACGCUCCCCAGCUGAGGUAAUUUAUUCCCUACGAACUGCCCGGCCUGCCUUGCUAUUCCCCGCCCCCGAGCCCUGCCAUAUCCUGUCGUCAUCCCAUCGGCGCCGGAAUCCAUCCCACUUCCUUUUUGUUGCGCAUAAUAACAGGGAGUCUCUGUAUGUAGCGACGGUCGCGGCCCCCUUCCUACGACCUUUGAAAGCAGAUCCCGCGUAAGAUGCCCCUACUUCUUCAACCAGCUAGAUGAGGAUCCAUGGCCUUCUUGUCCUAGCCGCUACCCUCUGGAUAGGUUUCUCUCUUUUCCUCUUACCUUCUCUCCCUCUGUAUGUGUGUGCAUGAGUCUGUCUGUAUUCUUCUGAUUAGUCACUACUGAUGUUUACAUUAAUUGGCAUGUUAUGCAGGACGAAUAUUGUGCAGGAAGCCCCCAUUAGUAGGUUUAUAUUAUGGUUUGGCUUUGGCCUUUGUAUAUGUUUAUUCCCAAUUAGGAAUCAGCUACUGUACCAUAGUAGCAUGUCUCUCAUUCUGAAUUUCAAACGUAUUUUAGAAAUCUCAGAUUAAUCAUUUAAUUUAUGACAUAAUUGGAGAAUCCUCAAACAAAAUUUGUUGAUUUGAUGGUUGCAAACCUUGAUGUUUCCAUUUUUCAAAUGCCAUGUAAUGUUUCUCAUAGGCUAGACAUAUAUAUGUUGGCUUAAAUUUAGAUUUGUGCUUGGCUCUCUAUCUAAAUUCAAUUUCUUCCUUUAUUUUUGUUGGUUUGAUGAUGCAUUUCUCUCAGAGCUUAGUUGUACUGUUGUUAGCUGAAUUUAAUCUUGGACUGAUCUGAUUUCCAUGCCAUGAGCAUGUAUUGAUUUAUUCUCCCAUGGGAAGUAUCUGCUCCAUGCUCUAGUUUGGUCACAUUUAGUAAGAAAUUCAGUUAUCUGAAUUUAAAUAGAUUGCCCAUAUGCAGAGGUUAAGCAUUGUAUUUUUUAUGUUCAUUUCAGCCCCAUAUUUACUUGUUUAGGGCAUAGUUGUCCUACAAGCUAAAUACUCGUUUCGAGCCAAGAUUAUGUGUGGCCGGCUUCCCCUCUCCAUACACGAUCGCCAGUGACACAUGCAUCAACGAAUGCUUGGUUCUCUCCUGUAAGUAUUCCUUGAUCCUCCUCCUAUUUCUCUUCCUUUUCCUCGUCCGAAAAUCUAGGUUUUUCAGAUCUCCAUCUCUCCCAGGCUCCCCUUUUCCUGAUUCUCUUGUUUUGUUAUGUUAGAUGAUUGUAAAAUUAACAAGAGUUUCUUGUAAAAAAUAUUGUUGUUUAGGCACCAAGCCACUGCAUGCUAAGAUUAUUGUCGUGUAGUAACUUCAAUAUUUCCCCCUCCUUUUUCUACAAAAUGUGUAAAUGUAGUUAGAUUUAGGGGAAACAUUAGAUUUUGUUUGAAAAACCUUCAGAUAUCUUUGUCGUUUGGAUAUCAAAGUUCAGUAUUAUUGCUGCUCUGAAAUAGUCUUAAUCAUAUAAGAAGUGUCAACUACUUGUACACUCUAGUAUUUUUAUGAAGAAUCGAGGAAAAAGGCCAUCAAAUCGCCUUGAGGUUGGGAGCAGCGGCAACAUCGAUAAAGUCAUAACCAGAUAGGUAUCAUAUAUAUCUAGUCUUGCAUGAAGUGAUUUUUGUUUUCCAUACAAGGUCAAUUGCACUGCUUCGCCUUUAGUUCCCCAAACUAAGCUUCGAUCUCCUUAAAUACUGCUCCCUCCGUUCCAAAAUAGAUGACUCAACUUUAUACUAACUUUAGUACAAAGUUGGGUCAUCUAUUUUGGAACGGAGGGAGUAGCUACUAGACAAUAACAUUUGUUUACCCUCCUUGUUUUAAGUCAACAGAGUAAUUUUUCAUAAUAAAAUUAGCUGUGCAUGUAGCAACUUACCAUGCCUUCAAGUGAAAUUAAUUUAGUCAACUUACUAAAUUUGAACCGGUAUCGCAAAUUGUGCCUACAAGCUCAAUUAUUGGGGCUUAUACUUUCCUUCAUGAUAUUAUGUCUAGUAGCCUCCACUGCAAACCAUAUUUAGGAGUUACUUGUUCAAUUCAUUCUAUAUCAAAUAUAUAAAGCAUGGUCCAGGAAAUAUCCUUGCAAAUCAGUUCAAGUGCCAUACUCUUGUUUUGUGUCCCAAUCGCACGUAUACAUAGUCCAUUAUACGAUAGUAGAAGAAUGACUUUGUUCUAGUGAGAGUUUGACACUUAAACUGAUUUGCAGGAAUUUUUUUAGAUAUCUUCCCACUGAUUUGUACAAAUGAGUCCUUUUCUCGUGUUUAUCUGCCGCCAUGUUAAGGACAGCUAGCAAGGAUCUACCUACUUGUGUGCUUUUUCUCGCAUGCUUUUGCUGGACUAUGUAUUAUCCUUCUGGUCACACCACCAAAAUGGUUGGGUAUUGCUUGGUUUGCAUGAUAAGAGAUAUGUCUGUACAUGGUUUUCUUUGUAAAAUGCUCUCUCUGGUUGCCAUGUCUCUCGAUUUGGAAAAUGCUUUGUGCUAGAAGCCGAAACAGUAGUGUGAAAAGAAACAGUAGUGUCUUUUUAUAGUGAUGAUGAUAUCUUCUGUUCUUUCACCAGCGAGAAGACAAGUGUGCAAAAAUCUUCCUACGAAAUCUUGGUGUGGUUAAGCUGGCAAUUUCCUUCACAAUCUAGGCAAAAGACAUUCUGGCAGCCAUUCUACUUGCUGCACUGCAUUUUUUAUGUCUUUUCAUUCCACAUGAGCACGAUCAUGUGUUUUCACAAAUGUUGAAGCUAUGGCUAUUCAUAUCUUAUUCUGCUGAAUGGUGAAUGUAAAUACUGUUUACUAUAAUUUUGUGCCAAAAUUAUUUGAAUUUUCUGGUUGUCACCAAACCUGUGUGAACAAUCGCUGUUGAUGUUCCCUUUUCUCCUCCCUGCUCUAUGUACACUGUUUACAUCACCAUGGCUAUAUCUAUAUAGGAAUUCAGCUAGAUAUGUUAGAUACUAGAGUUGAGAAAGAACAUAAAUAUAUGCAUCUUGCGUUGGGAACUGAUGACGGCACUAACGUGGAGAUGUACAUAGCUGGAUGAUGCGACAAUGAGUUAUUGCUGGCCAUUGCAACAAUUGGGGAGUCGACAGGCGUCAAGAAAUAUGUUUGAGGAGGCAGACCGCACAAAGAUAUUUGGAAAAGCUUCAUUGUCCAAAGAUUGGAAAAUACAUGACCACAACUACAUGAUGCCAAUCCCCUCCUUGGUCACAUAAAAAAAGUUACAUAAAAUUAUACUCCAUAAAAUGGCCAGGCAUACAAAUAAAAUUGGAACACAUCAUCAGCUACUCACUUCGUAAAAUUACGGCGAGAUAAUUUGAUUUCUUUACCGCCACUUUUAUGCGCUAUAUAGGUUGCACACAUGCACGAUUUAAAUUACUAGCACGCAGUAGGUAAUAUUACGGUGCUCUCCUUUGCUUCACGGAAGAGAGCAGUUCCUUUUCCAGGCUGUAACUUUACCACACAUGCUUUUGUUUCUUACGUUUAGAGUUCUGUCCGUGAGAGAUAGGCUGGGGUGAGGAAUAAGAAUUCCUCACCCAGGAUGACGAAUAGCGCGAUAUAAUUUUUAUAGCUAUAAUACAUCUCAUAUAUUAUUAAUUUUAUCAAUUGUCAGAGGCAACCUCGAACAACAUAUUAGAUGCUAUAUAUUUGUAUGGAAGUAGUAUUAAAGUUACACAUUAGCCAUGCAAUUCAAAUGGGCUUUUGAGAUUUCAGAAUUCUACUGGGCUGAGGCACAAGAUUUAAUGGACCGAGGCCCAUGAAAUCUAACCCAAAUAAGGGACAUAGAACAGUAGGGGCUCGGUUUCAAAAAACAGGAACAGUGGGGGCAUCUUCGUUCAUACUCCCCAUGCCCCAUAAUAUAGCUACGCAUUGAUUUUCGCAUAAGUCAAGAGUCACAAACUUUGAUCAAAUUUAAAGAGAAAAUUAUCUAUAUCUACAAUACCAAAUAUACAUCAUAUGAAAAUAUAUUUCCUUAUCAAUCUAGUGGUAUUUAUUUAGUAUUCUACAUCUUUGUAAAUUUUCUAAAAGCUUGAUCAAAUCUUAUAUUGUUUGACUUCAGGAAAAAAAGUCUAUACACACUGUGUUUUGGGAUGGAGGGAGCAUCAUGGAAGUGGGUGUGAUUCUUAUGUUUUCUUCGAGGGGGGCAGGGUCUAUUUUUUCAUGAAUGAGUUCUGGCGUCAUCGGGUGGGCCUAACAUGACACAGCCCAGGGCCCAGGCCCAAUCAAAACAUGACUUGACACUUGAGCAGGUGCGUAAACGCUCUCCGAACUUGGAAAACGCCCCUCUAUCCUUCAUUCACACUGCUUCAAGUGAACCCAAACGUAUGUACACGGCAGUAGGUGAAACCUUCAGCCGUGGCCUAUUUCCUUAGUAUCAUCGUUGUUAUCAUCUCUUCCAUUGAUCAGGGAGGCCGAAACAUUUUGAGACAACAAGUUCUUGAAGAAAUCUCCUUGCCAAGCAACACUUCAUGUGGUACCAUAACCUACGGUCUCUAUGAAAGAGGGCUAUACUUACAUCCCAAACCGGAUCAAAGGAAAUCAAAUUUCUAAAAGCUCACCAAAUAAUUGAACGUUUCGACAACAGUAUAUUUUUGAAAGUCCACCUACAUUUUUCUGAAACCUAGGUGGAAAAUGUGUUGAAAGUUGUCUUAGUUGGAGGUCGAAAAAUGGAAGUUGUCUAUGUUUAUUUGAAAUUUUAGAAUAUUACCAGAAAGGAAACAUUGGGGAGGGAAGACACCUGCCCGAAAUGAAAAAAAAUUUGAAAAUUACUAGGUGGGCAAUGUGUUCAGAUUUUCAUAGAUGGGUGUACAAAAAUACAAGUUGACUAUAUUAUUGGAAAUUUGAGAAUAUUUCCAAAAAAGGAAAUAUUGGGGAUGAAAGGCACCUGCCCAGAAAACUAAACAGUGUGCAUGAAAUGUUGGGGAGAAAAGAAAUACUGCAUGAAUUUGUUGUUGAAAGUUGUCUUAACUGGAAGCCAAAAAAUGAAAAUGUAUAAAUUAUUGUUGAAAUUUGAGAAUAUUUCCAUAAAGGAUAUAUUUUAGAGACGAAAGAUACCUGCUUAGAAACACUAAAUAUUGGGGUGAAAAAAUACUAGGUGAAAAAUGUAUUGAUAGUUUUCUAAACUGGAUGACGAAAAAUAGGAGUUGUCUACAUUUUGAAUUGAUUUAAUUCGUAUAUGAAAAUAGUUUCUAAUGAUAUAAUUUUUAUAGCCACCAACGGCUCAUAUAGUCCCUCCCUCUCUUCAAGUUUAUUGGGCUCAUCUUACAAAUUACAUGAACCAAGAAGGACCUACUUAAGUGUUAUACAGCAUAUUAAUACUAUACGCAUGGCCCUCUCACUCCUUCAUGUAUUGGUUUAUUCUAAAUUGAGAAUACAAAUUUGACAAAAUUUAAUGUGUAUAUAGUUAUAUUUGCAUGUUCCCAAGACAAUGAGCCUUACAAAUUGAAAAUUUCUACUUUUGAGGAAAGCUCUAUAAACUGAAAGGGAUGGAGUAUUAUUAAUUUUAUCAAUUGUCAAAGCCAACCUCAAACAACGUAUUAGGCGAUAUAUGUUUGGAUGGAUGGAGUAAUAAACUGCAUGUUGGUUUUCCCGAAAGUCAGGGGUCACAAAUUUUGACAAAGUUUAUAGAGAAAUUGAUCUUUUUUCAACAAAGGGUGGAUUUUAUUGGCUCAAAAUGGAGCAUCAAGAGGAUACACAAAUAAUGAGCACACACCCGGCCUCAGCAUAUUUAGGAUGCACGCAACCAAUACCAACGCGCACACACAAAAACACAGCAAAUAGCAAAGUCAUAUAAGGCCAAAGCUAUGCCUAGGAGAGGCAAAAAGAAAAAUAAUUAAAGUGAUCAGAUUCGUGGUCGAUAAACUACAACAAUGAACAUAUCCACAUAAACCAUCUCAUUGACACGACACAAAAAACGAGAUUCUUCAACAACAACACCUUCAGAAAGGGAGCGAUGCUCAAAAUGUCGCCAUCGCCGGAUCCAACCAUCUAAGGCUGGAAUCUAGAUAUUCACCCCAAAGAGUCAAUCUAAAUAUCUGAGUAAUGCCUUAAACUAGGUAAUGACGUAAAACAUCACAAUUGCCAAGUAUAACCAACUCGGGUCAGAUUUAGGCUUUCACCCCGGAGCUUGAGACUGGGUACUUGAGUAGCACCAUCAUCAACGACAUUCAAGUGUUGCAGCCACCAUUUUUCCGCAAUCCCAGCAGCAACAAGCGAUGUACCACUACUGGCUGCACAACCAUAUCCCUCUGUGUCAAGUCGUCGCCCAUAGUUUGCAUGUCACCGCCAAAGUCAACCAUAGGAUCUGGAGGGAGAAACCCUCAUCAAGACCUUUCGACGGCCACAACAAUCCAUAGCAAGGCCGCCACCAUGGGCCGGAGUGGUUUCGGGCAAAGCCUCCUCAGCUCCACCCACCAUGAGGGAUUUUUCCAGUGGCACAAAGGCAACAGCAAGAAGAGGGUGGAUGGAGGAGGGCGUUGGUGAAGUCGGCUUGGAGGCACCGCCCGAGUCACCAAGAGCGACGCGGGGGUUGACCCCUUUUUCUGGGCGUCUCCACGAUACGGUUGCAGUAGCGAAGGCCGUGAGCCACAUGCUCGGGCACCUUCGGUGGAUGAACAAUACAAGAGGAGGAAACCGGGAUGAGACUGGGCCUGCCCGGCGGAGACACCAGAUGAGAUCUAUGUCAGAUGGGGUGGGUGAUGGGGCUGAUGCGCCGGAGAGGACCCAUUGCCACCGACCACCGUGAGGGACUUUGCCCAGGUGGCCCUGGCCAGCGGCGAUGAGGGAGGGACAAUACGAGAGGGUACUAGAGAAGGAGUGGCGAUGCCACCACCCGUCUCGACCUCGAGGAUAAUGCGGGGACUAGGUUUCUCAAUGGGGUUACUGAGAGGAGACCUUACAAUUUGGGAGAGAAUUUCACUUCUCCUGGACUCUGCACCAACUAGGAUAUACACUACCUUUUUAGUAUGAGUAUCAAGAUUUUUAUCUUGAUGUGUACUUGCACCACACAUCAAGCAUGGUCCUCAAUAUAUUAUUUUUAUUCGUACAAAGAUUUUAUAUAGAUGAGUGAUCUCACCACAGACCACACAUCAAGUUUGAUUCUCAACAAAUGGGAAAAACCCAUGCGCAUCACCCAUCAAUUAUAGGAAUUGAACCCGGGUCGUUAGCCUGCACAAUCGCAUGCCUAACCACUAAGCUAGUGCUCUCUUGGAAGAGAAAUUGGUCUAUAUCUACAAUAGCAAAUAUACACCAUAAGAAAUAUAUUUCAUGAUGAAUUUAGUUCUAUUGAUUUAGUAUUCUACAUAUUUAUAAUUUUUUGAAAGAUUUGAUCAAAUUUAUCAUGCAACUUUGAAAAAAAAUCAAAUACAUAAUAUAUGUUGAAACAGAGGGAGUGUGAUAGAAGUGGGUAUGAUUCUUUUGUUUUCUGUGGGGGAAGGGGGAAUGUAUCUCAUGCACCGACGCUUGUGGUGCUAUCGGGUGCACCGGAUGCCCGUAGCGCAUUUCGAAAUGUUUGAAAAAUAAUUAGCACAUUCACACAACAUCGGUCUAUGUUUUCAUCAAAUUUAAGCUCGAGGUACAAAAGUAACAAAUUCGACAAUGAAUAGUACAUGACAUAAGUUGGGCUUUAGAUUUGGCCCGUUAUCACAUUGAUGUUAAAUUUGUCAUUUCUGUAGUGCCUUAGGGAACUAGGAGCUCAGCCCCUAAUCUCGUCCACGUAUUCUUUGUUUUUUUUUCGAGAAAAAAUAGUCUAUGCAUAUGAUUUUCAAAUUUCCAAUCUGAAUGAUUAAAAUGAUAUUCGUGGUUUAAGUAGAAGUUUGACAGAAGACAUGCCCAAAACAUCUCCCACCUAGUUGUGAUAUGCAGAGAGUAAUAAUAUGUCAACAUUAGUGCAUUAUAUUGGAUUCCAGUUUGGAUUAAGUCCGAUUGCCGUCUUCAAAUCAGAAAUGGCAGUCCUCUGAUCUUCCAUAUCGCCGGUUUUGAGACAUAUUCAGCAUAAUGAUUGUAAGACAUGUAGUGUCAAAAAAGGUCUUACAUUAUGGGAUGGAGGGAGUACUUUACAGCAAAUCCAGUGUCUAGGUAUGGCAUCUCCACUAAUCUCAUCAUAUCUAGUUUGUUCAGAAAUUAAAUAGAGCGGCAGAGGUAAAGUUGUACAGUUGCCUUUUGCUACAUAUGGACCAAAUCAAAACAUGUUGAAUAAUAUCAACAUUCGAAUCACCAUCCCACCUUCUUCCAAGCUAGCACUUCCCAAUACUCAUCUGACGAAAGAAUAUCCAUCUUGUGGUGUUCAGCAAUUUAGACCCGUUGUGUUGAGAAUCUAGUAGCUGCACAUGCGUGUGCACUUGAAAAACUGUUUGAAUCUUAUUAUUGAUCAUCAUUAGGUUUCCAUUUAGAUACAGCAUAAAGUACCCUCCCUUUCCAUCCUUGAAGCAGCCAGCCGCAAUCUUCUACAGCAAAGAAUUCCUGAUGAAACAGUAAGUUCUUCCUGUGUACUAUGUUCUUUAAGAUGGCUGGAUCGACAGGAAGCUGCUGGAACCCAGCCUUGAGGCACCUUGCUUGCCACUGCCUGUAUAUUUCUGGCCUCUCAGUUCUUUGUGCACCCUCACAUGCUAUGAUGUUAAGAGCAUCCUGCCCAAACAUGAUCCUCUCAAUCAUCUUUCUUGCUUCAUUAUCCUGUGGAACAUUUGCAUCAAGCAUGUCAAACACUGAAGAGUAAUGGAGCAUAACCUCUUUGAAACGUUGUAUGAAGAAGGGAGAACUGAGUAAACCAUUCACCGUGCCAGAAAUAAAAAUCUUCGGGUCCAUCCUCCUCAUAGUUUUGAGCACCUUAUCCCUUGCACCAUUUACGGCAUCGGUUUCAUGACCGAGAUUCUUCAUCCGGAACAUGCAGUUCACUAUGAGAACUUCAUCCUCGUCAAUGUUAAGAUCAUCAAUUUUGAUUGUCUCCCAUCUUGAAGCGGCAAUGCCCUGAUACUGGAAAGGUACCUUGAACCUAUUUGCGUAAUCAGCCAACCGCUUCCCUGUCUCCUCGAUCAUUUCGCAGGGGCGGAAACCUGAUUGGGGAACGUCUAUACCUGUGAUCCGAAGCUUAGGGGUUCCCUCCUCUCGCCGUGCAAAAAUCUGAAUCAUUAAUGGCCACUGAAAGCCGAAGCCGAUGCCGAAAUCAACGAUGUGUACCCUUGGUUUCCCUUGUGAGACAUCAAGAAUAGCUUGGUUGGCAAAAUAGUAUGACGCCCUUCCGAAAGGGAAAGCUGCAAGAAAAAGGCUAUAAGCCUCUAACCAAUCUGCGAUACUUGUUUGCCUUUCCACGAGGUUGCGGUAAACCUGACUCCUGGUCCCAGCCAAGCGUGCCUUGAGGCCAUCCGCCAAGUAAAAUGCCAGUCUCUGAGUACAAUCACCAUCUGCUGAAGAGUGUUGCCUUAUCUUCAAUAGCAGUUCACUGGCCAACAGGUAGCUGUGUUCUGCCACAGCUUGUGCGCAGUGGAUGAGGAGAGUCCUGAGAUCAACCAACUCUUUCCUCGGUUGCUUCCUACUUCUGCUCCGGCCUUUCAGAGAGGUCUCGUUUCCUUCCCCCGCCAUCCUUUCUUGUAGUCUUGUUAUUCGGUCAGAACAAUCAUAGCAUAGCAGAACUUGGUCAAAAUUUUCAUUUCGAAUUAUUGCACAAGUGGUGAUGGCAUGAUGUUCAUUGCUCCUUCUUUGAAAGAUAUCCCAACCCCGUGGGUCUGCCACCUCAAAGAUUGUGUUUUCGGUCCUCUCUCCUACUUUUGCCUUCGUAGUCAGUUGGGAAAUAUAAAGUAUGUUAUUCUUUGAAUAUAUCACCAGCUUAUCAAUACUUGGAGCAAACAUUCUUUCCUGCCUGACACCUCUCUGACCAUGCAAGGCAAGGAAGCCAGAUCCGGAAGUCCAUCCAACACUUAUCAACGGCUGGUUUGGUAAAAAAGGACUCCUAUUGCAUAUAUAUGGACUCAACGGGGUUGCUAAAGGUUGCAACAUGUUGUAACUGGAAUAGUCAUUACUGAAGCUAGUGCUCCAGACCCUCUUGUAACGACUGGUCCCACUCUUAUCAGGGUUGUCUGGUUUGUUGUUGCUAUUCAAUGGCGGCCAGUUAGUAGGCGGUGUGCAUACCUCACCAAGAAUGUCACGGAAUGGCUUCUCAGCAGCCUGAAGAGCAGCCCCUUGGCAUAUGUCGACCUCGUCAACGUCUUCCAUCAGCAUCUGGCUUAUGUAGUGAAGAGCAUCGUUUGAUCUGAUCCGGUGGUGCUCAGGGCUACUCCCUGCAGCAAUCUGAAAUUUGUUUUGUCCAUGGCUGCUGUUGACACUUACUUGGUUGGCUGGGGAGAGAACUGUUGAGUGUGGACAACUCAGGUCGUAGUUGUACACGGUGAGUUGCUGCUGGGAAGAGGAAUCACCAUAUGGUUGGUUGGUUGCUGCGAGGGUGUCCAGAUUAUCACGGAGAGGUUCAAUUGCCAUUGUGGAAAGUCUGAUUUCCACCUCAAUACGAGAUAUAUGGUUCUUGUUUGUCCCACAGCAAAUGAACCGGCUUGUUUCCUGGAAGGAGAAAAAGGGAAAUGCAAGCUAAAUUAUUUAUUAGAGAUUCAGCUUAUGAUUGUUUUGGCAUGUCAUACUGGUUGAAAAAUAAAAUCCGAAGGCUUGCAGACACGAGAACAGCUAUUUUAGCCGGUUAAACAUAGAAUGUUUAAGCAUCAAUAACAGAAACAGCGUGAAAGCGAUUUUGAAUCUACGACGCGCCUAAUACCACUGUUCCUUUUUAUUUGCAGGAGGCUCCUCAUCUGAUCUGAGCAAGUAGCAAAAGUAGGGAAGCACACACCUUGGAUAUUAAGCAGCAGCAGUGGAUCCAAUGCUUUGAGAGAAGAGUAGCGAGGAUAAGUAGUGAGGUUGUAGUGUUGAUUUGAACUAAAUUUGUCGUUCCUGUACCUUCUGGCUUUGUUUCCAACGUCAUAAGAUUGUGACAGAGAAUGGUCCAGAUUACUAUGGCUUUGUUCCCAACGUUGAUUAGUUCUAGGCCCGGCCGAGCAUCAGACCUAUAAAAAAGGGUUUAUUAGGAGCGCUGGACUGGUUUUCAAUCAUUAUUAAGGUUCCUAAUUGAACUGUUAAAAAAUCCGAGGUAAUCGAAAAAAGGAGAUGCACUAUUCAAAGAAUGUUCUUCUUUCUUUUCCACUUGAUAAUUGAUAUAUAUAUAUAUAUAUAUAUAUAUAUAAUGGUAUUGGUUGAAUCUUUUUUAGGAUAAUUUGUUGUACUUUAUCUCAUUAAAACAAUCAGUUUUUUUGUGAUUAUCUUAAUUCAAAAUUAAAUUGUUGGUGCCUAGCUAGUCUGAUGAGAUUUGAUGUUCUGCCGUAUCUGAAUUAUUUGUACCAAAUGUUUAACUAGUGUAACUGCCUUUGAAUUUUAUUUACAACAUCGGCAGCAAUGUUAGUUAUCAGGUCAUGAAAAUGCAUAUCCAAAUUACUUGUCGCUGCUUCAGUACAAUUUAGUAUAAAAUUGUAGAAAAACAGUCACAAGUAAUAUGGAUCGGAGGGAGUACUAGAAGAAUAAGUCAAAGAAAACUAGAAGAAACUAAAACAAAAUCUUUUUAAAAAUUCCGACGUAAUUGAAAAAAAAGGCACUAUGCAAAAUAACUUGUAAUUUUAUUUUCAUUCGAUAGUGUGUAAUGGUUGAAUUUUUGGAGGGUAGUUUGUCGUACCAAGUUUGUGCUUGGUUUUCGCCUAGGCCGUGGCAAUGCGACCUUGUAUUAAUGUCUGUCACCAACAAUUGUAAGUUGUUCACCUAAUAUACGGAAUUCACAUCUUGUUUAUCUGAUUCCAUUUUGGGAGCAUUCGCACGGACACAAAAGGAGAUUUCAUUUUGUUAAGAUAUUAGGCAGUGUUUGGUUAAGCUCAAUCUAGAUUAGCAUUACCACAAUAUCACUAACAUGGCAAAUCGCAGGCUAGGAACAUCUAGCAUAUGGGCCAGAGGCACAUGUCAGCGAAAUAGAGAUUAAGAACAUACGAGUUCACUAGAAACUCUGGUGCAACGACAUCGUUAGACACAGUGGUGAAGAUUAGCUAGGUGGAUGCCCGCUCACUAGGAAGCAGACGAACUAUCAUCAUGGAUGUAGUCGAACUUAAGCAAGCAGUUGCGCCGAAACGCCCCCAAAAACCCUUACCGCCCCUCACCAGGUGUAGGUUCUCGAGGGACUCGGUUUUGAACAGGCUGCUCCCCAAGAUGAUUGUGCAUGUGGUCGCCAGAAAGGGGUCUCCAGUAGGUCAACAUGUGUGUUCUGUCUACUACUAUGUGUAUUUUGUAUAGUCUCUCUACUUUGCAUUUCCUCUACACAGAGAGGACGCCUAGGAGAGUGAAGCAAUGCAACUAACGCAUGGUGGAAGAUCUCUUUGAAAAUAGAAAGCGUGUCCACAACAAGCUCGAGUAUUGACAUGUACACCUAGAGCUAGGUCGUGCACUGCCAUGCAAAAUAUGUGUUCUUCGAACAGGCAUAUAAUAUAGCUCAAGUUCGAACUCAAUUCACGUGACGUGGCCCACUCGCUUUUGCAUGAAGCGAGUGAGCGAAGACACGCGUUGUUACUCUUUUCUCUCUCUACAAGGGGUGGUUGAACAACCCAAAUUUUAUAUUGGUGCUACUCUUUCUCAACUAGCAGUAUGGUAAUCUCACCAUCCAAAUAUAUAUGGUCUAAUACAUUUUUUGAGGUUGUCUUUGACCACCGGGUAGAGCAAUAAUAUAUGAUGUGUAUGUUACAAAUAAAUAUACCAUAAAAUCUGUAUGUGAAAAGAGUUUAUAAUGAUAUAAUUUUUACAACAUACAUCUCAUAUAUUGUUAAUAACUUUACCAAUGGUCAAAGCCAGCCCUGAGCAAUCAUGCCUAAUAUAUUUCUGAUGUAGGGAGUACUAAACUUGCACAUUUGUUAUGCAAUUUGAAUGGGUCUUUGAAAUUUCAGAAUUUUAUUGGGCCGAGGCACAAGAUUUAUCUAUAUCUUUGACCAAGUCUAUAGAAAAAAUUAUCUAUAUCUUUAACUCUACCACGAAGUUCUGUAUCAUCAGAUCAUCUGCUAAGGAGAGAGCUUCCCGGCGGGCAAUUGCUUCCAUGGUUGCAGCAUUGCUCACUCCCUCAAUAACCAAAGAGGAACUUUCAACAUAAUUACCACCCGCAUCUCUACACACAGCCGAGGGAGUAGGACGGAAGUGGGUGAUUCUUUUGCUUUCUGCGAGGUGAGGCCUGAUAGGGUGGGCCUAACCAGACACAGCUCACGGCCCAGGUCCAGUUAAAACACGACUCAGCACAUCAGCGAGUUCUACUUCACCUAAAAAAAAAUCACCGAGUUCUACUAAAAACAAAAUCAGCGAGUGCGUAAACGCUUUACGAAGGCGGAAUUCGUCCCUCUCUCUUUCUCCUCCGCGACCUCUCUUGUCUCCAUGGCCGCCAAGAGGAAGCCCGGCAGGUCGCUGGCGGCGGCGGCGAAUGCGCAGGCGUAGGGGCACCUCUCCUCGCGCUCCUUCGCCGACCUCACCACCUCGGCCUCCACCCCACACUCUGCACCCGCCUCCAAGUCCAAGGUCCGUCCCUCCCCCCUCUCUGACCCCCCGUGUCUCUGUCGCCCUAGUGAUUUAGCAGUCACCCCCUAAUCUGUGAUGUCCCGAGCUCGGUUGGGAAUCACUACUCACUAAUUAUGCAUGAAUCUGAGGUACAGGGGAGAUUGGAGUCUGGCAUAGAGAGAGAAAGAGACAGGCUUCGGGAAAGGGGGAGAACAGAGAAGAUACAGUUCAGAGGAUACAGACUGUCUAUUCACACUGCUGACAUAAUCUCGUCCACGUCUUUGUUGAGAAAAAAACUGUACAUAUGAUUUUCGAAUUUCCAAUCUGAAUGAUCAAAAUGGUAUUCGUAGUUUAAGAAGUACUCCUACCAAGUUGUGAUAUGGAGGGAGUAGAAGUUUGACAGAAGACAUGUCCAAAACGUCACCCACCAAGUUGUGAUAUGGAGAGAGUAAUAAUAUGUCAACAUUACUGCAUUCUAUUGGUUUCCAGUUUAGAUUAAGUCCAGUUGCCGUCUUCAAAUCAGAAAUUACAAUCCUCUCAUCUUCCAUAUCGCCAGUUUGGAGAGGUAUUCAGCGCAAUUACCCACUUUACAGCAAAUCAGUGUCUAGGUAUGGUAUUUCCACUUAUCUCAUGUCUUGAAGGCCCAAUACACUUUAUUCAUCAGAAAUUAAUUGCAGUCGCCUUUUCGUUCACUAUAUAAAACAGACAAUGACCAAGUACACAUAGUUAAUAUUCGUUUAAAAGAUCACCAGAUUCACUUGAAAAACAGUUUGAAUCUUACUGACCAUCGUAUGUUUCGUCAGGUUUCCAUUUAGAUAUUGCAUAAAUUACUCUCCCUUUCCAUCCUUGUAGCAGCCAACCGCGGUCUUCAACAGCAAAGAAUUCCUCAUGCCAAAACGUGUUCUUCAUGUAUGCUAUUAUCCUUAAGAUGGCUGGAUCGACAGGAAGCUGCUGGAACCCGGCCUUGAGGCACCUUGCGUGCCACUGUCGGUAACUUUCUGGUCUCUCAGUUCUUUCUGCACCCUCACAUGCUAUGAUGUUAAGCGCAUGCUUCCCAAAUAUCAUCCUCUCAAUCAUCUUUCUUGCUUCAUUAUCCCGUGGAGCAACGUUUGAAUCAAGCAUGUCAAACAUUGAAGAGUAAUGGAACAUUACCUCUUUGAAACAUUUUAUGAAGAAGGGAGAACUGCGUAACCCAUUUACGGUGCCUGAAAUGAAAAUCAUUGGGUUCAUCAUCCUCAUCAUUUUGAGCACCUUGUCCCUUGCACUAUUUAUGGCUUCGGUUUCAUGUCCGAGGUUCCUCAUCCGGUACAUGCAGUUGAUUAUGAGAACUUCAUCCUCCUCAAUGUUAAAAUCCUCAGUUUUAAUGGUCUCCCAUCUUGAGGCGGCAAUGCCCUGAUACUGAAAUGGUACCUUGAACAUGUUUGCAUAAUAAGCCAACCGCUUCCCUGUCUCCUCGAUCAUUUCGUUGGGGCGGAAACCUGGCUGACAAACGUCUAUACCUGUGAUCCGAAGCUUAGGGGCUCCCUCUUCUUCCUGUGCAAACUUCUGAAUCAUUAAUGGCCACGGAAAGCCGAAGCCGAUGCCAAAGUCAACGAUGUGCGCGCUUGGUUUCCCUUGUGAGACAUCAAGAAUAGCUUGGCUGGCAAAGUAGUAUGACCUCCCGGAGCCCCGUCGCUGUCCCCUUCACCGGAUCUGGAGUCCCCGCGUCGGCCUCCACCGAUUUCAGCCGGAUCCGGGCCUCGCCGGCCACGCUAGCCCCGCCGGACCCUCCUCCCGCGCCGCCGAACUGCCAUGGCCGCCUCCCUCCUGCGUGCUCGUGCGGGCGCACGAGGAGGAGGACGAGCAGCCGCUCGGGGCCGCCCCAGUGCCGCGUGGGCCCCGCCAAGGCCCAGCCAAGGCGCCCCGGCCCAGCUUCGGCCGGCCUGCCAGGCCGCCUCCUCCACUGAUCUGGGCCUGCGGCCCACUAGGUGAGCACCCCGCCAGCCCUAUCCCUCGUCCGGGCGACAUUUAGUCUUUUUGCGCCCACUCCGUUUUUUCAGUAAUAUGACCAAGUCCCAGAUUUUUCUAUGUUAAGUGAGCAUGUUUGACCUAGCGUAUCUUUGUUCUUGCUAAUCUGUUUGGAGCAUAUAAUAUAUCGAAAUGUUCGCCUCGUGAUGCUCUACAUUUUAUUCAAUUGCACCAUGUUCAUUAGAGGUCAUCUUGAUGCCCUAAUCAUCGUUGCAAGAGUGCUAGUUGCUGUUAUCUUCUGGUUCAUAGCAGAACUUGAUGAUUUGUUAUUUUUAUAUCAUUUAAUCUGUGCAUCUUUUGAGCAUGAGCUCUACAUGUGUUUUGAAGUAUGCCAUGCCAUAUUUCCAGUGGUGUAGUCCAUGUAUUUUUGUGAUCUCUGUGGUGACUAGCACAAGCAUGCAAAAUAGGCUCCGUAAUGUUUUUGAUUUCAGGGACUUAGUGAUUUCUCUAAGUCUUUGUCUGCUGUUAUUUUGUUGCCAUGUAAACUUGAUGCUACAGAGAGAUCCAUGCAUAUUUUGGAGAUGUUCAGUAAGGAUGUUUUGUAGAUAUUGUUGUAAUAGAUCAAUUCCUGCCCUUGUUUGCAAUUAUGGAGUGCCAUAGCAUGACUCAAUCUUGCUCUACUUUUGCUAUAAAAUAUUUCUGGCAGAUUCUUAACAUGAUAUUCAUUUUUGCCAAGCUCGUUAUAGUUGAUACAUACAUGCUAUGCUUUUGUUCUUGCCAUGGAUAGCUUCAUAAACAUGCCAUCUUGCUGUAGGUAUGCUUGGUUUAUCAUGCAUUGCUCUGUAGUGAGUGCAUCAAGCUCACCAACAUGCAUUCAUAUUAUAGUUUCUGCCAUGCUCUGUUUUCUGCUAAGUCUGGAACCUGUUAACGAAACUUGCUAUGUUUACAUGCUUGGCAUCAUAUCUUCUGGUCCUUUUUGGCUUAUGGUCAGUAAGAGACUUUUGUUAUAUGCUUUGAGUAGAUUCAUGCCAUGCCUUGUUUUUCCAUGUUAAGUUCCUGUAACAUGUUGAUUUCGUGCUCUGAACAUUGCUACCUGAUGUUAUUUCUGUCAUGUCCAGUAUUUUUGCUAAGUCUGUGAACCUGUUAUUAUUUGCAAUCUUGCCAUGUCCUUUUGAGCAUGUUCUAGUGAUUUCUGGAGAUAGCUCAGUGUUCAUGUUUUGUCAUGCUUUACCUGUACUUCAUGCCCAUGCCUUUUAUUUUCAUGUUGAGUUGUUGUAGCAUAUUAUUUUGGUGAUUGCUAUAUGCCUAGUUGCUGUUUUGGGUCAGAUUGUUUCCAUGUAUUGUUUGGAGUGUAUGUGUUGCACCGUUGCUCGGUUUUGAGCAUGCUCUACAUGUAACUUGCUCAGUUUUGCAUGUAGUCGCAUAUUAUCAUGUUGCAUCCUUGUUUUGAGGCGUUUGCUUGAUGUUUGUAUGCAUUUUGCAUCAAUGCCAUGUUUAACUUGUUUUGAUCAUAUCUUCUAGGCCGUAGCUCCGAAUCUAAUGAACUUUAUAUGUAACUUGACUAGAAUUUCGUGUAGAUCAUCAUGGUGCUCUUUAACUUGCUGUUUAACAACUUCAACUUAAUGCUUAUUCAGUUCUGGACCAAUUUCGAAAUUUGCAUAUGAGGACUUACCGGAAUUGUUAUAUGUUGUUUUCGGCCUCAUUUAAACUUGCCUUGAUGUGUUGUUCUUGUAUGCAUCAUCUCUUGUCAUGAGUAGCUUCAUGUAGCCUUGUCAUGCAUCAUUCUUGAUUGAGCAUCAUGCCUUGUUCCUGUGUGAUGUGUUUACCAUGUUGUGUGCUUCUUCUCGAUAGUUCCCGUGUCGUUGCGAUCGUGAGGAUUCGUUCGUCUUCGUGGCUUCAUCUUCUUCAUGGAUUCGUUCUUCUUCCUAGCGGGAUUUCAGGCAAGAUGACCGUCACCUUGGAUCUCAUUACUAUCAUUGCUAUGCUAGUUGCUUCGUUCUAUCGCUUUGCUCCGCUACCUAUUCACUUGCUCUUCAAGCCUCCCAAAUUGCCAUGAACCUCUAACCUUUGUCACCCUUCCUAGCAAACCGUUGUUUGGCUAUGUUACCGCUUUGCUCAGCCCCUCUUAUAGCGCUAAUAGUUGCAGGUGAAGAUGAAGAUUGCUCCAUGUUGGAUUAUGUUUAUGUUGGGAUAUCACAAUAUCUCUUAUAUUAUUAAUGCAUCUAUAUACUUGGUAAAGGGUGGAAGGCUCGGCCUUAUGCCUGGUGUUUUGUUCCACUCUUGCCGCCCUAGUUUCCGUCAUACCGGUGUUAUGUUCCCGGAUUUUGCGUUCCUUACACGGUUGGGUGAUUUAUGGGACCCUCUUGACAGUUCGCUUUGAAUAAAACUCUUCCAGCAAGGCCCAACCUUGGUUUUAUCAUUUGCUCAGCCUAUUUCUUUUCCCUAGGGAGUCGCUCUCUCGAGGGUCAUCUUAUUUUAACCCCCCCGGGCCAGUGCUUCUCUAAGUGUUGGUCCGAACUGAGUAGACUGCGGGGCCACCUCGUGGAAACUCGAGGUCUGGUUUUACUCGUAGGAUGUCUCAUCCGGUGUUGCCCUGAGAACGAGAUAUGUGCAGCUCCUAUCGGGAUGUCGGCGCAUCGGGCGGCUUUGCUGCUUUUGUUUUACCAUUGUCGAAAUGUCUUGUAACCGGGAUUCCGAGACUGAUCGGGUCUUCCCGGGAGAAGGAAUAUCCUUCGUUGACCGUGAGAGCUUAUCAUGGGCUAAGUUGGGACACCCCUGCAGGGUAUUAUCUUUCGAAAGCCGUGCCCGCGGUUAUGAGGCAGAUGGGAAUUUGUUAAUGUCCGGUUGUAGAUAACUUGUCACUUGACCUUAAUUAAAACGCAUCAACCGCGUGUGUAGCCGUGAUAGUCUCUUCUCGGCGGAGUCCGGGAAGUGAACACGGUUUAUGGGUUAUGUUUGACGUAAGUAGGAGUUCAGGAUCACUUCUUGAUCAUUGCUAGUUUCACGACCGUUCCUUUGCUUCUCUUCUCGCUCUUCUUUGCGUAAGUUAGCCACCAUACAUGCUUAGUCGCUGCUGCAACCUCACCACAUUAUCCUUUCCUUUCCCUUUAAGCUUUGCUAGUCUUGAUACCCAUGGUAAUGGGAUUGCUGAGUCCUCGUGGCUCACAGAUUACUACACCACCAGUUGCAGGUACAGGUUGUGCGAUGAUCAUGACGCGAGAGCGAUGUUUACUUGUUUGGAGUUCUUCUUCUGCUUCUUCUUCGAUCAGGGGAUAGGUUCCAGGUCGGCAGCCUGGGCUAGCAGGGCGGAUGUCGUUUGAUCUUCUGUUUAUGUUUCAUCCGUAGUCGGAUGUUGAUCUCAUGUAUGAUGUAUUGAUGUAUUCUUGUGGCAUGUGUAUGCCUUGUAUGUAUCCCCAAAUAUUAUGUAAUGUUGAUGUAAUGAUAUCCACCUUGCAAAAGCGUCUUCAAGAUGCGCUUCUAUCCUUCGUGGGACCUUCGAGUUCCUUUAGGACCAAUCUGUUGUACUUGUUCGCCUCUCCAUGAGGUUGCAAUAAACCUGACCCCCGAUCCCAGCCAAGCGUGCCUCAAGGCCAUCCGCCAAGUAAAAUGCCAGCCUCCGAGAACAAUCACCAUCUGCUGAGGAAUGUUGUCUUAUCUUCUUUAGGAGUUUACUGGCCAACAGAUGGUUGUCUUCUGCCACAGCUUGUGCACAAUUGAUGAGGAGAGCCUUGAGAUCAACCAACUCUGUCCUAGGUUGCUUCCUCUGCCAGAGCUUCUGACGUCCUUCGCUCCGGCCUUUCAGUGAGUUCUUGUUUCCUUCCUCUGCCAACCCUCUUCGCAGUCUUGUUGUUUUUUUUGAAACUCUCCAGACCAUAGAAUAGCAGAACUUGGUCGAAAUUUUCAUUUUGAAUUAUUGCACAACUGGUGAAGGCAAGAUGUUUAUUGCUCCUUCCUUCCAGGAUAUCCCAGUCACUUUGGUGUGCCACCUCAAAAAUUGUGUUUUCGCUCCUCUCUCCUACUUUUGCCUUUGUAGUCACUUUGGAAAUAGAAAGUAUGCCAUUCUCUAAAUACAUCACCAGCUUAUCGAUACUUGGAGAAAACAUCGUUGCCUCCUCGACUUCUCUCUGACAAUGCAAGCCGGGGAAACCAGAUCUAGAAGUCGAUCCAACACUUGUGAACGGGCGGUUUUGUAGAGAAAGACUCCUAUUGCAGAUAUAUGGACUGUGGUGUUGAUGUAAACUUGGUAAGUCUUUUGUUCCCAACUACAGCCAUGGUGAUUGUGACAGAGGAUGCUCCAGAUUGCAACAGUUAUCCUCUCGAUUAAUCCUAGGCCUGGCUACGCGCCAGACAUGUAAAAACACAACUGUCAUAUCUGACCAUCGUUCUAAUUUCAGGGAUAAAACAGAACGCUUCCUGACGUGACCGACGGGGUCGAACGAACAAGCGAGCAAAACUAUUACUUCCUGUUAGUCUGCAUGCGUACGUCUCCAAAUGUGCAUACAUGCAAACUCUUUUUUUUAACACCUCUCCAUAUAUUAAUUAAUUAAAACGUCAUUACAAUCGUUCAUGACAGUAGACGCCAUGCAGGGCGGAAAAUUAGUAAAAAGAAAACCAUCACAUCUAUUAUCAAAACUAAAUUUAGCUAUCCCAUGCGCUACUGAAUUGGCUCUUCUAUUUAUUUUUGACAGCUUGAAGUUCCCCAGAAGCCUGAUGAUGCCAAACUCUUUCUAAUCCCAAGAUCAGCAGCAAGGCACAGCUCCUUCUCCCCUAGUAUAUAGAUAUAGAUUAAUUUUGCUUGAUUGAAUACAUAGCCUUCAAUUUGAUUCUUUCUCUAUUCUGGACUUUUGAUUCAUAUGUAAAUUUCAUUUUGCUUGAUUCAAUACAUAGCCUUGCAUUUCUCUUUUUUCCCUCCUAUUAUGGAUUUUUGUUUGCUUCAUCUAAAUCAGAAUUUGAUUUUGCUUGAUUGAAUAUGUACCAUUGCAUUGCAACCCUCUUUCGGGACGAUUAAACAAAAAUGGCUUGCAUUUUGCCCCCCUUCAUCUAUUU
rnacentral:lncRNA from 1 species